rnacentral:rRNA from 1 species
AUGUCUUCUCUCAGCCGGGAGCUCGUCUUCCUCAUCCUGCAGUUCCUCGAUGAGGAGAAGUUCAAGGAGACCGUCCACAAGCUUGAGCAGGAGUCUGGCUUCUACUUCAACAUGAAGUACUUCGAGGAUGAGGUGAUCAAUGGCAAUUGGGAUGAGGUGGAGCGCUACCUCGGGGGCUUCACCAAAGUCGACGACAACCGCUACUCGAUGAAGAUAUUCUUUGAGAUCCGCAAGCAGAAGUAUCUCGAGGCCCUCGACAAGCAUGAUCGGUCCAAGGCGGUUGAAAUCUUGGUCAAGGACUUGAAGGUGUUUGCAUCCUUUAAUGAGGAGCUGUUUAAGGAGAUCACACAGCUAUUGACUCUGGAGAACUUCAGGGAGAAUGAGCAGCUUUCCAAGUAUGGUGAUACAAAAUCUGCAAGAGCAAUAAUGCUUGUUGAGCUGAAGAAGCUGAUCGAAGCUAACCCCUUAUUCCGUGACAAGCUUCAGUUUCCCAAUCUGAAGAGUUCUAGAUUACGGACACUUAUCAAUCAGAGCUUAAACUGGCAGCACCAGCUUUGCAAAAAUCCCAGGCCUAAUCCUGACAUCAAGACCCUCUUUGUUGAUCAUUCUUGUGGACAACCAAAUGGUGCACGUGCUCCAUCACCAGCAAACAAUCCACUACUUGGAUCUAUACCUAAACCUGGUGGUUUCCCCCAAUUGGGCGCCCAUGGACCCUUUCAACCUGCACCAACACCUGUCGCACCUCUGGCCGGUUGGAUGUCAAACCCUCCAGCAGUAACACAUCCUGCUGUUUCUGGAGGUGCUAUUGGAUUUGGUACUCCUACGAAUCCUGCUGCUAUGUUGAAGCAUCCUAGGACACCCUCGGCUGCUAACCCUUCUAUGGACUAUCCAUCUGGAGAUUCUGAUCAUGUCAGUAAGAGACCCAGGCCAGUUGGGUUGUCUGAGGAGGUGAAUCUUCCGGUGAAUAUGAUGCCAGUAACUUAUCCGCAGAGCCAUAGCUACCCGCAAGAUGAUUUCCAUAAAGCUGUCGCACGGACAUUGAGUCAAGGAUCAGCUCCAAUGAGCAUGGAUUUCCAUCCAGUUCAACAAACUCUUCUUCUUGUUGGUACCAAUGUUGGUGACAUUGGAUUGUGGGAUGUUGGCACCAAGGAGAGACUUGUUGUAAGAAACUUCAAGGUUUGGGAGCUUGGGAAAUGUUCUAUGGCCCUCCAGGCAGCACUGGUUAAGGAUCCUACCGUGUCAGUUAAUCGCAUAAUUUGGAGUCCUGAUGGAACCUUGUUUGGUGUUGCUUAUUCAAGGCAUAUAGUACAGAUUUAUUCUUAUCAUGGUGGCGAUGAUAUUAGGCAACACUUGGAGAUUGAUGCACAUGUUGGUGGCGUAAAUGACAUUGCAUUCGCCCAUCCAAAUAAGCAGCUGUGUAUAAUUACCUGUGGAGACGAUAAGACGAUAAAGGUGUGGGAGGCCACUAGUGGAACAAAACAAUUUACCUUCGAAGGUCAUGAAGCUCCUGUCUAUUCUGUUUGUCCACAUUACAAGGAAAAUAUUCAGUUCAUCUUUUCAACUGCUUUAGAUGGAAAGAUAAAGGCAUGGCUGUAUGAUAAUCUUGGGUCCAGAGUUGACUAUGAUGCACCAGGUCAUUGGUGCACUACGAUGGCAUAUAGUGCGGAUGGUUCAAGAUUGUUUUCUUGCGGGACCAGCAAGGAUGGUGAAUCACACCUGGUGGAAUGGAAUGAGAGUGAAGGUGCGGUGAAGAGAACAUACCAGGGAUUUCGUAAGCGAUCUAUGGGUGUUGUACAAUUCGAUACGACGCGAAAUAGGUUUUUGGCUGCUGGAGAUGAAUUCGUGAUAAAGAUUUGGGACAUGGACAACACUAGUCUUCUGACUACCAUUGAAGCUGAUGGUGGCCUACCUGCAAGCCCGCGUAUCCGCUUUAACAAGGAGGGUACUCUGUUGGCAGUCUCUACUGUUGAUAAUGGUAUCAAAGUCUUAGCAAAUGCUGAUGGUGUUCGUUUAUUGCGCACACUGGAAAAUCGUUCUUUUGAUGCUUCACGUAGUGCAUCUGAGACUGUAACAAAGCCUCUAAUAAACCCAUUGACUGCUGCUGCUGCGGCAGCCGCCGCCGCUGCCGCCGCUGCAACCAGUUCUGGAACUGCUGCUCCAUCACCUAUAACUGCAAUGAACGGGGACAACAGAAGCAUGGUUGAUGUAAAACCUAGAAUAGCUGAUGAGUCAAUGGAUAAGUCAAAGGUCUGGAAGCUUAUGGAGAUAACUGAUACAGCUCAGUGCAGAUCAUUAAAACUAGGUGAUAGUAUUAGGACAGCUAAGAUCUCGAGACUGAUCUACACAAAUUCAGGUGUUGCUAUCUUGGCUUUAGCUUCAAAUGCCGUCCAUCUACUGUGGAAAUGGCCACGUAAUGAACGAAAUUCAACUGGAAAGGCUACUGCUAGUGUUUCUCCUCAAUUAUGGCAACCUCCAAGUGGCAUUCUCAUGACUAAUGACACAAUUGACAAUAGUCCUGAUGAGGCCGUUCACUGCUUUGCUUUGUCAAAGAAUGAUUCAUAUGUCAUGUCAGCUUCAGGAGGGAAAAUCUCUCUAUUCAACAUGAUGACUUUUAAGACGAUGACGACGUUUAUGCCUCCGCCACCAGCAGCUACUUUCCUCGCAUUCCAUCCUCAAGAUAACAACAUAAUUGCAAUUGGAAUGGAUGAUUCAACCAUCCAAAUUUACAACGUUCGGAUUGAUGAGGUCAAAAGUAAACUUAGAGGGCACUCUAAGAAAAUUACAGGUCUUGCCUUUUCAAAUGUGUUAAAUGUUUUGGUAUCCUCUGGAGCUGAUGCACAGAUAUGUGUUUGGAACACUGAUGGGUGGGAGAGGCAAAGGAGCAGAUUUUUGCAGAUACCAUCUGGUCGCCCAACGUCCAACAUCUUAGACACACGAGUUCAGUUCCACCAAGAUCAACAGCAUUGUCUUGUUGUCCAUGAGACCCAGAUUGCCAUCUAUGAUGCCUCAAAAUUAGAACCCGUGAAGCAGUGGCCUCCUCGGGAGACAUCUGCUCCUCCAAUAACGCAUGCUACAUUCUCAUGUGAUAGUCAACUGAUUUAUGCAAGCUUUCUAGAUGCCACUGUCUGCAUAUUUAGCGCAUCAAGUUUGAGACUUCAAUGCCGAAUUCUUCCAGCUUCUUAUCUUCCUCAAAAUAUCAGUUCAAAUGUUCAUCCAGUUGUGGUUGCGGCACAUCCUUCGGAAGCAAAUCAGUUUGCUCUAGGCCUUACCGAUGGCAGCGUUUAUGUCAUGGAACCGUUGGAAUCUGAGAGAAAGUGGGGAAUUCCUCCACCAGCGGAGAAUGGAUCGACGAGCAACAUGUCCACACCUCCUAAUGGAGCUUCGAGUUCUGAUCAACCAGAAAGAUAA